rnacentral:rRNA from 1 species
ACGAACGCUGGCGGCGUGCUUAACACAUGCAAGUCGAACGGAAAGGCCCUGCUUUUGUGGGGUGCUCGAGUGGCGAACGGGUGAGUAACACGUGAGUAACCUGCCCUUGACUUCGGGAUAACUUCAGGAAACUGGGGCUAAUACCGGAUAGGAGCUCCUGCUGCAUGGUGGGGGUUGGAAAGUUUCGGCGGUUGGGGAUGGACUCGCGGCUUAUCAGCUUGUUGGUGGGGUAGUGGCUUACCAAGGCUUUGACGGGUAGCCGGCCUGAGAGGGUGACCGGCCACAUUGGGACUGAGAUACGGCCCAGACUCCUACGGGAGGCAGCAGUGGGGAAUAUUGCACAAUGGGCGGAAGCCUGAUGCAGCAACGCCGCGUGCGGGAUGACGGCCUUCGGGUUGUAAACCGCUUUCGCCUGUGACGAAGCGUGAGUGACGGUAAUGGGUAAAGAAGCACCGGCUAACUACGUG